AAGAUAAAGAUCAAAAUCUGGACUUGCUGCUUCUCGCAGCCAUAAUUUUGUGUCUUCAAGCAAGAAAAAGACACACACUGGCACACACACAGUGUGUUUUUGGCAACAAAUUUCAACGCCAUUAAAGUGAUUAAUGGUAAUCACAAGCAAGCAAGGAGUUGCGAGCUCACUAUUUAACUGCCACCCUCUCUCUCUCUCUCGUCGUCAUCAUCGUCGUCAUCGCCAUUCAUCACUAUCAUCUCUCACUCCAAGAUUGCAAUUUGCGAGCAUCCUUUUUUUCUCUCACAGUCGCACAUAAAUAAAAAAAACUAGAAAUCUCGGCGCAAGACCUUCUUACCUGGUUGGACCAUUUCCAGGCUGACCAUACACUGGAUACGUCACGGAAGAGAUGGGUGCAAUUAGUCCGUGGCCCGGAAUUUUCUUCUUUUUCAUUGCGCUGAGUGCAUUCUGCCAAUCUUCUGCUGAUGGGAUCGAAGCAGACCAACCCGUUGCUCUUUAUGUAAAUGCGUCCGAAGCAUCAGCAAAAAAGAUACCAAAAACCUUGUUUGGUAUAUUUUUUGAGGUGAGUUUGAUCAGCGUUCACGGAAUUUUGUAUAUACACCAUAGCUCAUCAGCAUCAAUUACACAUCUUGCAGCACCAAUUUAAUAUUCCAGUGCUCGCUGGAUUCCCAGCGGUCGCUGGGUUUCCAGCGGUGCUGGAACUCAGCGGGCGUUGGUUUUCAUGGAAUUCAAUUCCAAAAUUAUCCCCUAAAGUCUUCGAAAAUCAGUGAAAAUCGGGGUGAAAUCCAACCACGAAUUCUUUAAAAGUCGUCUGGAAUCUAUGUGAAUUCCAUGGAAUUUAAAUUCCAUGGACUUUUUAAAGUCUGUGUAAAUCCACAACUUAUACACCCCCCUAAAUCUCUAGCUAACUGGGCAAUGGCAUGAGUCUGUUACUUUAAAUUCCUUCAUAUCAUUUCAAUGUUAUUUACAUAAAGGAUCAAUAAGAAUGUUAACUCAUUAGCAGAUGUGUAAGUAUUCAGAUACACAGAUAGAAAGAGAAGAACAGGUAAUCAAUCAGCCAACCUACAGGAGGAUUUCAGAAGCCAACAAUACAAGUAUGAAUGAUACUUUAAAUCUGUAUCAACUAUACAUGAUUUUCAUAUGGUUUCUUACAAUGAUUUUGGGAAUGUCGUCAAAUAAAGGGACGGAAACAAGUAAAAGAGAGCUUGAUUUUUCAGAAGAUACAUGUGCACUUACAGUUCUACAAGUAUUUUUCUAUGCAAGUUGUCAAUGUAGUUUCUGGAACAGCACCUAUGACUGCUUCUUUCUUCUCCCCAUUCUUGAAGAUUAUGACAGUAGGAAUACUCCGGAUCCCAUACUGGGUUGCAAUCGUAGAGCAAUCAUCAGUGUUAACCUUGAAGCAUUUGAGCUUCCCAGCAUAGUCCUUAGCCAGUUUGUCGAUGACAGGGUGGAUCAUGCGGCAGGGCCCACACCAUGGUGCCCAGAAUUCAACCAGAACAGGCACAUCAGAUUCAAGCACAAGAGAUUGCCAGUCCGGAUCAGUAACAGCAGCCACUGCAGUUUCCAAGGAACUAAUGAUAAGCCAUUGUAUAAGGUGGAAGAUUUCCAAACUCAUAUUGUACUGCAACAUGAUUCUUUUCGAUGAAUUCCUAUUCCUUUCCAUAAUGCUAUAAAUACUCUACUGAAUGUUCAGAAACUUUGAAGUGC